rnacentral:rRNA from 1 species
AGUGAACGUUGGCGGCGUGGAUUAGGCAUGCAAGUCGAGCGAGAACCGUAGCAAUACGGGGACAGCGGCGAAAGGGACAGUAAUGUGUAGGUACCUACCCCGAGGUCUGGGAUAGCUGCGGGAAACUGCAGGUAAUACCGGAUAAUGUCGUCGGACCAAAGGUGUGAUUCCACCUUGGGAGGGGCCUGCAUCCUAUUAGCUAGUUGGCGGGGUAAUGGCCCACCAAGGCAACGAUGGGUAGCGGGUGUGAGAGCACGACCCGCGUCAUUGGGACUGAGACACUGCCCAGACACCUACGGGUGGCUGCAGUCGAGGAUCUUCGGCAAUGGGCGAAAGCCUGACCGAGCGACGCCGCGUGCGGGAUGAAGGCCUUCGGGUUGUAAACCGCUGUCGUAGAGGAGGAAAUGCAGGGGGGUUCUCCCUUCUGUUUGACCUAUUCUAGGAGGAAGGACGGGCUAAGUUCGUGCCAGCCGCCGCAGUAA